GCGGACUGCUCGAGCUGCU
rnacentral:ncRNA from 2 species